rnacentral:rRNA from 1 species
CCUACGGGAGGCUGCAGUAGGGAAUAUUGCUCAAUGGGGGAAACCCUGAAGCAGCAACGCCGCGUGGAGGAUGAAGGUUUUCGGAUUGGAAACUCCUGUUGGUAGAGAAGAGAAUGACGGUAGCUAACGAAUAAGCACCGGCUAACUCCGUGCCAGCAGCCGCGGUAAUACGGAGGGUGCAAGAGUUACUCGGAAUCACUGGGCGAAAAGAGCGCGGAGGCGGGAUAGCCAGUCCGAUGUGAAAUCCUAGGGCUUAACCAUAGAACUGCAUUUGAAACUGUUAUUCUAGAGUAUGGGAGAGGUCGGUGGCAUUCUUGUUGUAGUGGUCCCAUCCGUAGAGCUCCCG